UACGGAGGGUGCAAGCGUUGCUCGGAAUUAUUGGGCGUAAAGGGUGGGUAGGUGGUCUCAUUUGUCUGAGGUGAAAGCCCAGGGCUUAACCCUGGAAGUGCCUCAGAAACGGUGAGACUCGAGUACUGGAGAGGGUUGUGGAAUUCCCGGUGUAGCGGUGAAAUGCGUAGAGAUCGGGAGGAACACCAGAGGCGAAGGCGGCGACCUGGGCCAAUACUGACGCUGAGGUGCGAAAGCGUGGGGAGCAAACAGG
rnacentral:rRNA from 1 species